UACGUAGGUGGCGAGCGUUGUCCGGAUUUACUGGGCGUAAAGGGCGCGUAGGCGGAUGGCACAGUCAGAUGUGAAAUUCCUGGGCUUAACCUGGGGGCUGCAUUUGAUACGUGUGAUCUGGAGUGAGGAAGAGGGUUGUGGAAUUCCCAGUGUAGAGGUGAAAUUCGUAGACAUUGGGAAGAACACCGGUGGCGAAGGCGGCGACCUGGUCCUUAACUGACGCUGAGGCGCGAAAGCGUGGGGAGCAAACAGG
rnacentral:rRNA from 1 species